AAUAGAUACCCGGGUAGUCCUAGCCGUAAACGAUACUCGCUAGGUGUCGGCCACGGUGCGACCGUUGUCGGUGCCGUAGGGAAGCCGUGAAGCGAGCCACCUGGGAAGUACGGCCGCAAGGCUGAAACUUAAAGGAAUUGGCGGGGGAGCACCACAACGGGUGGAGCUUGCGGUUUAAUUGGAUUCAACGCCGGAAAUCUUACCGGGACCGACAGCAAUAUGAAGGCCAGGCUGAAGACUUUGCCGGAUUAGCUGAGAGGUGGUGCAUGGCCGUCGUCAGUUCGUACUGUGAAGCAUCCUGUUAAGUCAGGCAACGAGCGAGACCCACGCCCACAGUUGCCAGCGUACUCUCUGGAGUGACGGGUACACUGUGGGGACCGCCGCUGCUAAAGCGGAGGAAGGAAUGGGCAACGGUAGGUCAGUAUGCCCCGAAUAUCCCGGGCUACACGCGAGCUACAAUGGUUGGUACAAUGGGUAUCUACCCCGGAAAGGGGACGGGAAUCUCCUAAAACCAAUCUUAGUUCGGAUUGAGGGCUGCAACUCGCCCUCA
rnacentral:rRNA from 1 species